AUUGAACGCUGGCGGCAUGCCUUACACAUGCAAGUCGAACGGCAGCACGGGGCAACCUGGUGGCGAGUGGCGAACGGGUGAGUAAUGCAUCGGAACGUGCCAUUGAGUGGGGGAUAACGUAGCGAAAGUUGCGCUAAUACCGCAUAUUCUGUGAGCAGGAAAGCAGGGGACCGCAAGGCCUUGCGCUCUUUGAGCGGCCGAUGUCAGAUUAGCUAGUUGGUGAGGUAACGGCUUACCAAGGCGACGAUCUGUAGCGGGUCUGAGAGGAUGAUCCGCCACACUGGAACUGAGACACGGUCCAGACUCCUACGGGAGGCAGCAGUGGGGAAUUUUGGACAAUGGGCGCAAGCCUGAUCCAGCCAUGCCGCGUGAGUG
rnacentral:rRNA from 1 species